GUUGGCCGGAAGAAGACGGUUGGGAGAGACACAAAGGCCUGUAAUGGCCUAAAAACUCCCGGGAAGGUCUGAGAGAAGGCCCUUUGUGAGAUCUAGGAGAUCUUCCAGUUUCCUUGUAGAGGAGAGGCUGUAGAAGAAGAGUUUCCCCCGUGCGGGUUUGGAAACGGCCUCGGCCAGCAACAAACUGAGCUUCUGAGUGCGAUCGUCAUACCAACACAAUUCAGACUAGUCUUCGGCCAAC
rnacentral:RNase_P_RNA from 1 species